CACGUAGUUAGCCGGAGCUUAUUCCUCGGGUACCGUCAAAUUCCUCUUUCUUCCCUGAUAAAAGAACUUUACAUUACGAAUAACUUCUUCGUUCACGCGGCGUUGCUCGGUCAGGGUUCCCCCCAUUGCCGAAAAUUCCCUACUGCUGCCUCCCGUAGGAGUAUGGACCGUUCUCAGUUCCAUUGUGGCCGUUCAACCUCUCAGUCCGGCUACGCAUCAUCGCCUUGGUAGGCCCUUACCCCACCAACUAGCUAAUGCGCCACAGGCCCCUCCUUAAGCAGAUCUCUCUUUUAAAUAUAAAAGAUUCUUCCUCUAUAUCCUAUCCAGUUUUAUCCAUCGUUUCCAAUGGCUAUCCUCGUCUUAAGGGUAGGUUACCUAUGUAUUACUCACCCGUUCGCCACUAAAGUACCCGAAGGUACUUCCGUUCGACUUGCAUGUAUUAGGCACGCCGCCAGCGUUAAUCCUGAGCCAGGAUCAAACUCU
rnacentral:rRNA from 1 species